GUCAACUACCCAUGACUAAAGUCGUAAGUUUGUAUUCCUACAAACUUAGUUGAAUAGCCCAAGUCUUAAUUGACUACGUUAUAUUAGAAUAUAUAGGUACUUCAAGAUAUUUCUCUAGUCUUGAACACUACGGUAUAUCAUUAAACAUCUCUGAGGGUAGGAGAAGUGUGGUAUAUAU
rnacentral:ncRNA from 1 species